rnacentral:rRNA from 1 species
UACAGAGGGUGCAAGCGUUGUUCGGAAUUAUUGGGCGUAAAGCGCGUGUAGGCGGCGUGACAAGUCGGGUGUGAAAGCCCUCAGCUCAACUGAGGAAGUGCGCCCGAUACUGGCAGGCUUGAAUCCGGGAGAGGGAUGCGGAAUUCCAGGUGUAGCGGUGAAAUGCGUAGAUAUCUGGAGGAACACCGGUGGCGAAGGCGGCAUCCUGGACCGGCAUUGACGCUGAGGCGCGGAAAGCCA